UAUGGCGACCGGCGCACGGGUGAAUAACACGUAUCCAACCUGCCGAUGACUCGGGGAUAGCCUUUCGAAAGAAAGAUUAAUACCCGAUGGCAUAGUUCUUCCGCAUGGUAGAACUAUUAAAGAAUUUCGGUCAUCGAUGGGGAUGCGUUCCAUUAGGUUGUUGGCGGGGUAACGGCCCACCAAGCCUUCGAUGGAUAGGGGUUCUGAGAGGAAGGUCCCCCACAUUGGAACUGAGACACGGUCCAA
rnacentral:rRNA from 1 species